CCUACGGGGGGCUGCAGUGGGGAAUAUUGCACAAUGGGCGCAAGCCUGAUGCAGCGACGCCGCGUGAGCGAUGAAGGCCUUCGGGUCGUAAAGCUCUGUCCUAAGGGAAGAAUAAUGACGGUACCUUAGGAGAAAGCCCCGGCUAACUACGUGACAGCAGCCGGGGUAAUACGUAGGGGGCGAGCGUUAUCCGGAAUCACGGGGCGUAAAGGGUGCGUAGGCGGCCGUGCAAGGCAGGAGUUAAAUCCCUCGGCUCAACCGAGGUGGGAGGUUGAAACUGUAGGGCUUGAGUGCAGGAGGGGAGAACGGAAGUGGUAGUGUAGAGGUGAAAGGCGGAGUUAUUAAGGGGGACACCAGGGGCGAGGGCGGAUGGCGGGACUGCAAGUGACGCUGAGGCACGAAAGCGUGGGGGGCGCACAGGAUUAGAUACCCCAGUAGUC
rnacentral:rRNA from 1 species